rnacentral:tRNA from 1 species
CCGCCCUUAGCUCAGCUGGAUAGAGCAACGGCCUUCUAAGCCGUAGGUCACACGUUCGAGUCGUGUAGGGUGGGCCA